UACAGCAUUUUGACGUUUUGUUUUAUUUGAAAUUUUUUUAUUAAUAUUUUUGUUGUUACUAGAUGAUAAAACAUGAAAAUUAUUUUAUGCGUGACUAAUUUUUUAAAGUUUUUUUUAAAAUUUUCAAAUAAGACGAAUGUUCAAACUUUGGACACAGAAAUUGA
rnacentral:pre_miRNA from 1 species